rnacentral:rRNA from 1 species
GGAUUAGGCAUGCAAGUCGAACGAGAGCCCGUUUCGAUGGGCGAAAGUGGCGAAAGGGUGAGUAAUGCAUAGACAACCCACCUUCGACUCCGGGAUAACUGGGAGAAAUCACAGCUAAUACCGGAUAGGCUCGCUGGAACUUAUGUUCUGGCGAAUAAAGGAGGCCUCUCAACGAUGCUCCUGGUUGAAGACGGGUCUAUGUCCUAUCAGCUUGUUGGUGAGGUAAAGGCUCACCAAGGCGAUAACGGGUAGCCGACCUGAGAGGGUGACCGGCCACACUGGGACUGAGACACUGCCCAGACUCCUACGGGAGGCUGCAGUCGAGAAUCUUCCGCAAUGAGGGCAACCCUGACGGAGCGACGCCGCGUGCGGGAUGAAGGCCUUCGGGUUGUAAACCGCUGUCACAGGUUAAGAACCGGUCUGGUGUCAAUAGCGCCAGGCCCUGACAAAGGCCUGAGAGGAAGCCACGGCUAACUUCGUGCCAGCAGCCGCGGUAAGACGAAGGUGGCAACCGUUGUUCGGAAUCACUGGGCAUAAAGCGCACGUAGGCGGGAGUGCAAGUCGGGUGUGAAAUCCCUCGGCCCAACCGAGGAACUGCGCCCGAAACUGCACUUCUUGAGGGCAGCAGGGGAGCAUGGAAUUCCUGGUGGAGCGGUGAAAUGCGUUGAUAUCAGGAGGAACACCGGCGGCGAAGGCGAUGCUCUGGGCUGUUUCUGACGCUGAGGUGCGAAAGCCAGGGGAGCAAACGGGAUUAGAUACCCCGGUAGUCCUGGCCGUAAACGAUGGGCACUAAGUAGAGGGGUUUU